CAAGGUUCAUCAGUUCACAAGGUUAUAUUAAACACAGUCUUGGACAAAUUAGUGUCUCCAGUUCACCUCACUGGCAUGUCUUUGGACUGUGGGAGGAAACCGGAGCAUUGGGAGGAAACCGGAGCAUCCGGAGGAAACCCACGCAGACACGGGGAGAACAUGCAAACUACACACAGAAAGGACCCGGACCGCCCAACCUGGGGAUCGAACCCAGGACCUUCUUGCUGUGAGGCGACAGUGCUAUCCACUUAGCCCCCCAUACAAAAGAUGUAAAUCCAUCACAGCGCCUCUGCAACCUCCCUGUAUGUAGAUGCCCGACCGGCUGGUAGCAGUGCUAGGGAUUCGAACCCUGGAUCCUAGCGACCCCAGAAUCAAUACAGCACAACCACACAGAAAAACCGAAGACUAAAAUAUAUUUACAGGUUUCAGGAAG